rnacentral:rRNA from 1 species
CGGAGGGUGCUAGCGUUGUUCGGAAUCACUGGGCGUAAAGCGCGUGUAGGCGGCCCACUAAGUCUGAUGUGAAAGCCCGGGGCUCACCCCCGGAAGUGCAUUGGAAACUGGUGGACUCGAGUCCCGGAGAGGAGAGUGGAAUUCCUGGUGUAGCGGUGAAAUGCGUAGAUAUCAGGAGGAACACCGGUGGCGAAGGCGGCUCCCUGGACGGUGACUGACGCUGAGACGCGAAAGCGUGGGGAGCAAACAGGAUUAGAUACCCUGGUAGUCCACGCCGUAAACGAUGAGCACUAGGUGUCGCGGGUAUUGACCCCUGCGGUGCCGACGCUAACGCAUUAAGUGCUCCGCCUGGGGACUACGGCCGCAAGGUUA